GCGGGGCGCGCACACGCGGGGAAGGGCGCACGUGGCCCGCCCGGGACUCGGGUCUGGGCUUGCAGGUCUAGGUUAGGGCGAGACAGUUGGAGUUUCGAGAGUGAAAAGGCAGCGUCCCGCGUUCUGAGGGGGAGAAGCGAGGACAGCACGGUUCCCCCAGGCCUCGGGGCACCCCCAGGGACGUGUGUUCUUUCAACAGAGGUUGCCGCGGCGGAAUCUUUCACGGGUUUCUCAGACCCCUUAACACUGACAGGGCCUCGCCGUGGAGUCUGAGGGGCCACUGUGAGCCACAUCUUUCCCCUUCUAGGCGCUCUUCCCACGGACCGACUCAAGGCCCGAGAGCGUUGUGGGGAACAGGCCCGAAAUACAUAAGGAAGGGCGCCGUCCAGCACGGGGCCGCGCGGAAUCCGCCAGCCCGGAAGAGCAGCCUGCAGUGCGUCGGCCGGAAGCGUCACCCGGAAGGCGGAAGCGGCCGGCUCCCGCGUGGACCCGCGGGUGCCCCGGGAGGCUGGCGGCGCGGCCCACUUAGACAACCCUCUGCUCUCAGGGAACCGACGCUACUUGGAACACGUGAGGUGCAAGGGCAGGACGCUGCCAGGGCGGGCGUCUGUCAAGAAAAGGACUUUUAUUUUUGAAAAGGCAACCGAUUUAGAAAGAAAAAAAAUGUCUCAAAAACAGAUGAAGGAAGCUUUUGUCAGUAACCUCAAUGGAACCAACGUGCUGGAAAUCACCCAGGGCUUGUGUUAUCCUGCAUUCUGUAUCCUGUGUAGAGGGUUCCUGAUAAUUUUCUCACAGCACUUGUGUUCUUGUUCACAUACCUGGAAAACUAGAUUCUUCACUGAUUUUAUUGUCCUAAUACUUCCCCUGGUGGCCACCUUGACCAUUUUGUCUUCAUUUAUCCUCCUUGAGCUUCUUGCUGUGAUUAUCUUUGGGGCAGGGCUGUUUUAUCAAAUAUACCAGAGGAGAACUUGCUAUGCCAGAGAGCCUGUCCAGAAAAUCCUUGAAAAAUUCUUCACAAUCAGUCUAGAAUCAGAAUACAUUCCAGCCAUCUCCUGUUUCCGUGUAAUUAACAGUGUGUUUACUGCUAUUGCUAUUUUGGCUGUGGACUUCCCACUUUUUCCCAGAAGAUUUGCCAAAACUGAGCUAUAUGGGACAGGAGCAAUGGAUUUUGGAGUAGGUGGCUUUGUUUUUGGGACUGCAAUGGUUUGUCUAGAAAUCAGAAGGAAAGACUAUAUCAAAGGAUCCAGAUUUUAUUAUUUUACAAAGUCAUUGUACUCUGUUUGGCCAUUAAUGUUCCUAGGAAUUGGACGAUUAGUCAUUAUAAAAUCCAUAGGCUAUCAGGAACAUGUAAGCGAAUAUGGAGUUCACUGGAACUUUUUCUUCACCAUGAUAGUUGUGAGAAUGAUAACAUCUCUACUGUUGAUUAUUUUUCCUUUAAAUAAAUCCUGGAUUUUGUCUCUCAGUAUUACUGUAUUAUACCAGCUAGCUCUCGACUUUACCCCACUAAAGAGGUUAAUUUUGUAUGGCACUGAUGGCAGUGGCGCAAGGGUUGGUCUAUUAAAUGCUAAUCGAGAAGGAAUAAUCUCUUCUUUGGGGUAUGUGGCAAUACACAUGGCUGGUGUGCAAACAGGAUUAUAUGUAGGUAAGCACAGAUCACGUAUCAAAGACUUGAUAAAAGUAGCCUCUUGUCUUCUACUGGUAGCUAUUAGCCUCUUCAUAUCACUCUACAUAGUUCAAGUAAAUGUAGAAGCAGUAUCUCGAAGAAUGGCCAAUUUAGCCUUUUGUAUUUGGAUAGUUGCUUCUAGCCUGAGCCUCCUUAGUAGUUUAUUAUUGGGUGAUAUAAUUUUGAGUUUUGCCAAAUUUCUAAUUAAAGGAGCUCUAGUACCAUGUUCUUGGAAACUUAUCCAGUCACCUGUCACAAAUAAAAAGUAUUCAGAAUCUCAAGUUCAAAGAAAGGAACCCAGUCUUUGCUUAAUCACAGCUCUAAAUAGAAAACAGUUAUUUUUUUUCUUGCUGUCCAAUGUAACAACUGGUGUGAUCAACCUGAUGGUAGAUACAUUACACAGCAGUACCUUAUGGGCCUUGUUUGUGCUCAAUCUCUAUAUGUUUACUAACUGUUUAAUUACAUAUGUACUAUAUUUGCAAGAUAAGACUAUAAAAUUUUGGUGAUAAAUGAUAUGAUGUCUCUGUAUUUGAGCAAUAAUUAUUGGGGAAGAAUAAAUAUUACAUGUAAGGAAAAUGUGCUUUAGCACCCCAGUGUUAAACUAUUAUAAAAUUAGUUUCAAUACUCUAUAACAGUAGUGAUGCUUAAUAUUUUAAUUAUAUCUCAACAUUAAAAGCAAACUCAUAGUGAAGAAGCAAGGCCCUGAGACUUUUUAGAAAUUAAUAAAUGUAUAUAUUAUAUAUAUAUAUUUCUUUUUUUUUUCUUUUUUUUUUGAGACAGUCUGUGUCACCCUGGGUGGAGUGCCAUGGCAACAUCAUAGUUCACAGCAAUUUCAAACUCUUGGGCUCAAGCAAUCCUCUUACUUCAUCCUGCAGAGUAGCUGGGACUAUAGGUGCCCACCAUGACGCCUGGCUAGUUUUUCUAUUUUUAGCAGAGACUAGGGUCUCACUUUGCUGAGACUGGUCUUGAACUCCUGAGCUCAAGCAAUUCACCUGCCUUGGUCUCUCUAGGUGCUAAGAUUACAGGCAUGAGCCACCAAUUCACUUUGCCUGGACGAAUGUCAAUAUUUUAAAGCAACUUUAGAGUUGUGACCCUGGAAGAUUGGAUGGUGAGAAGGAUUUUUACUUUACAUUUUAAUACAACCUUAUGCCAUUCUUACUGUAUAUUUUAUAAUGUUUACAUUAAAUGAAAUGUUUAAAACAUUUCAGUGUUAAUUGUGGAUUGUCAAUUUCUCUUUCUUUGUUUCUUUCUUUUUUUAGAGACAGAGUCUUUAUUGCCCUCGGUAGAGUGCUGUGGUAUCACAGCUCACAGCAACCUCCAACUCCUGGGCUUAGGUGAUUCUCUUGCCUCAAGAGAAUGAGGACUACAGGUGUCUGCCACAACACCCAGUUAUUUUUUUGUUGCAGUUUGGCUGGGACUGGGUUCAAACCCGCCACCCUCGGUAUAUGGGGCCAGCGCCCUACCCACUGAGCCACAGGCGCUGCCCAUUACGUCUUUAUUUUAAUUUUUUUUUUUUUUUUGCAGUUUCUGGCCAGGGCUGAGUUUGAACCCACCACCUCCGGCAUAUGGGGCUGGCAUCUUACUCCUUUGAGCCACAGGUAUCACCCUCUUUAUUUUAAUUUUUAAUAAAACAUAAGAAUAAGAAGAAAGCAUGUGUGGGGGAAUGUGUUUGGUUAUAAAUCUUUUUUUUCCCUCACUUUCACUCUGUUGCCCUGGAUAGAGGGCUGUGGCAUUAUAGCUCACAGCAACCUCAAACUCUUGGGCUCAAGCAAUCCUCUUGCCUCAGCCUACCAAGUAGCUGGGACUACAGGUACCUGCCAAAAUACCCAGAGACAGUGUCUCACCCUUGCUCAGGCUGGUUGGCUUCCCAGAGUGCUAGGAUUAUAGGCAUGAGCCACUGCAUCCAGCCUAUAAAAUCAUUUUAAUUGAGUUCUUUCUGUAUUACAAGCCAUCCAGGACAGGAAUGUGCUUGUGGUCACUGUUUGCUGCUCCCUGUUAUAAUACUGAGCCUAGAAUUGUGAUCAGUUAUCAAAAUAUACAUUUAUGGCUGGGUGCCUAUAGCUCAGCGGCUAGGGCGCUGGCCACAUACACCAGGGCUGGGGGGUUGGAACCUGGCCUGGGCCUGCCAAGCAACAAUGACAACUACAACAACAAUGAAAAAAUAACCGGGUGUUGUGGUGGGUGCCUGUAAUCCCAGCUACUUGGGAGGCUGAGGCAAGAGAAUCACUUAAGCCCUAAGAGUUUGAGGUUGCUGUGAGCUAUGAUGACAUGGCACUCUACCAAGGGUGACAAAGUGAGACUGUGUCUCCAAAAAAAAAAGAAUAAAUAUGGUUUGCCAAGAGUGUUAAGAAUUGAUCUAGUGGGUGGCACCUGUGGUUCAACCGAGUAGAGCGCUGGCUCCAUAUGCUGGAGGUGGCAGGUUCAAACCCAGCCCUAGCCAAAAACUGCAAAAAAAAAAAAAAAAAGAAAAAGGAAUUGAUCUAGUGAAGCAUCAGUUUUCCCCACAGAUGGUAUUUUUUUUGUUUUGUUUUCGGAUGAGAUGAGGGAGUUAAACUGUAUGUGUCCACAGCACUGUUUCUCAACCGUUUUUAAUCUCAUGGCACACUUGACCCUAUAAACUACCAUGGCACAGUUAAAUUAUGUUGAUAAAAAAAAAAAAAAGUAAAAAAAGAAUAUGUCUACUGUGCUUUGAACUUCUUUCAAAAAUAAUUUGGUGGAUUUCUCCCUGGUCAGGAAUCUCAGCCCACCUGUACUCUAGGUGGAAUAAAGGCCAUUUUAACUGCAAAAAAAAGAA